rnacentral:rRNA from 1 species
GACGGAGGGUGCUAGCGUUGUUCGGAAUUACUGGGCGUAAAGGGCGCGUAGGCGGUUUGUACAGUCAGGUGUGAAAUUCCCGGGCUCAACCUGGGGGCUGCACUUGAUACGUAUGGACUGGAGUGGGGAAGAGGGUCGUGGAAUUCCCAGUGUAGAGGUGAAAUUCGUAGAUAUUGGGAAGAACACCGGUGGCGAAGGCGGCGACCUGGUCCUUGACUGACGCUGAGGCGCGAAAGCGUGGGGAGCAAACAGG